rnacentral:tmRNA from 1 species
GUGAGAGUCUGGACUCACCUAAAUAAACGGAUAACUAAAUAUAAACGCUGAUAAUAACGAAUUAGCAUUUGCUGCCUAACGUGCAGCACGUCGGACCUGCGUAGCCCACUGCGCAGGAGGAGAAGCCGCGAGGUCCCGCAGGGGGUUUACCCCUGUAACCGGCGUCAAUGAGGUGGGGAACUCUUUCGGCAAAGCUUUGAGCCGGAAGUAGAAAUAUGAAGCUACCGAAACGCUAAGCCUGUCUGUGGGCGUGGCGCAGAGGGAAUAACAAACCACAGACUGUGAUGGAAGAAACCGGGGUGAAUAGGCUUUCGGACAGGGGUUCGACUCCCCUCUGGUCCAUAA